AUACUUACCUAGACAGGGCCAACGGCUGAUCAAAAAGGCUCGUGGCCUAGAUUAAUGGCUCACAUUGCACUUGGUGAGUUUGUUGGUCUACCAUCUCCCCAAGUGGGAGAGCGGACGUCAUAAUUUGUGGUAGAGGGGUAUGCAUUCGCGCGAUCCCUAU
rfam:Hordeum vulgare subsp. vulgare, WGS project CAJW01000000 data, contig: morex_contig_54396